CAGUCGCCGCGGUAAUACAGAGGGUGCGAGCGUUAAUCGGAUUUACUGGGCGUAAAGCGUGCGUAGGCGGCUUCUUAAGUCGGAUGUGAAAUCCCUGAGCUUAACUUAGGAAUUGCAUUCGAUACUGGGAAGCUAGAGUAUGGGAGAGGAUGGUAGAAUUCCAGGUGUAGCGGUGAAAUGCGUAGAGAUCUGGAGGAAUACCGAUGGCGAAGGCAGCCAUCUGGCCUAAUACUGACGCUGAGGUACGAAAGCAUGGGGAGCAAACAGGAUUAGAGACCCCGGUAGUCCCUGUCUCUUAUAU
rnacentral:rRNA from 1 species